UACCAUCUGGUGCCGGCGCAGUGU
rnacentral:siRNA from 1 species